CUGCUUCGAGAGGGACUAAGCCUGCUAGUCGUGCGCGUCCAACCAUGAGGACGAGCGGCAGACCGCUCAGUAACACGUAGCUAACCUACCCUCAGGACGUGGAUAACCCCGGGAAACUGGGGCUAAUCCGCGAUAGGUAUGAAGGCCUGGAAUGGUUUCAUGCCCAACGGCACAGCGAUCAUGUUUGUUGUGUGCCUGAGGAUGGGGCUGCGGCUGAUCAGGCAGUUGGCGAGGUAACGGCUCACCAAACCUUUGACCAGUACGGGCCAUGAAAGUGGUAGCCCGGAGAUGGGCACUUGAGACAGGGGCCCAGGCCCUACGGGGCGCAGCAGGCGCGAAAACUCCACACUGUACGCAAGUACGAUGGGGUUAUCUCGAGUGCAGUCCGAUAAGGGUUGCUUUUCCAUAGAGUAAUAUCCUGUGGGAAUAAGAGGGGGGCAAGACUGGUGUCAGCCGCCGCGGUAACACCAGCCCCUCGAGUGGUGGGGACUAUUAUUUGGCCUAAAGCGUCCGUAGCUGGCUGUAUCCGUCCCCCGUUAAAUCCAGCGUCCUAAACGUUGGACUGCGGGUGAUACCAUACAGCUAGAGGGUGGGAUAGGUGAGCGGUAUUUCUGGGGUAGGGGCGAAAUCCUUUGAUCCCAGGAGGACCACCAGUGGCGAAGGCUGCUCACUAGAACACGCCUGACGGUCAGGGACGAAAGCUGGGGCAGCGAACCGGAUUAGAUACCCGGGUAGUCCCAGCUGUAAACGAUGCUAGCUAGGUGUUGGGUCGGCCACGUGCCGCCCCAGUGCCGCAGGGAAGCCGUUAAGCUAGCCGCCUGGGGAGUACGGCCGCAAGGCUGAAACUUAAAGGAAUUGGCGGGGGAGCACCACCAGGCGUGAAGCUGCGGU
rnacentral:rRNA from 1 species